ACGCCCGCUCUGCGGACCCCGCGACCCGUUGCCGGGAAGGUUUUUUUUCCUGCUUUUUCAGAGGAAGGAAACAUGAUUUGCGUGCGGGAGGGCCCAGCAAUCUUCAUGUCCCUCCAGGCUGGGAUGCGAAGGAGAUACUGAGGUGCUUGAUGAGAAAGGCAGGGGUGAUCAGACUUGGAAGGAUGCUGUUGUGAAAGACACAGAAGAAAAGAAACAUUAAAAAAAUAUCUCCUGUUUCGCUUCGGCCAUUUUCCUAUCUAGUUGGAUCCUCCCAGUAUCUCUACCAGGGAAUUUCUGGAAAGCAAAAUUGACAGUAGAGCGAAUUCCGUGCGCAGGACCUGGCAGAAGGAACAGGGUAAGCCCGACGGCCGGGGGCAUGCUGGGUAUUGUAGUUCGGCUGCGUCGCGGAGCCUACCGGGAGUUGUGGUCCUCCGCGCCAACGCUCCCUCGGAGAGGCUCCACUCCUCUCUCGGAAGUCACAGCCGGUCCCCAGAGCCAGAUUCCUCCGGUGUCUGCGCCCCAUCUCCACCUUGCGCUGGAGCCGGUAGCUUCAGCUGCUGCGGCCAAGAGUCCGAUUUAUUGGAUUGUUGGGAAGAUUGAAAUGUUAAUGGAACUAAAGAAUUUGCAAAAGGCCUUGACAGAGCACUAGAGGGAAGCCUGCUCUGUUCCAGUGCUGCCAGUGACUAGACGGAAGUAUCCUUCUGGGGUCUGCUGUCAGCAAACACCUCACGUGUAGACGGGAGCCACGCCUUCCUCCCCAACCUGGCUUUUAUCACAAUAAAUGUCACGAUUUGGUCUCUG